rnacentral:rRNA from 1 species
UAGGGAAUCUUCCGCAAUGGACGAAAGUCUGACGGAGCAACGCCGCGUGAGCGAUGAAGGCCUUCGGGUCGUAAAGCUCUGUUGUUAGGGAAGAACAAGUACCGGAGUAACUGCCGGUACCUUGACGGUACCUAACCAGAAAGCCACGGCUAACUACGUGCCAGCAGCCGCGGUAAUACGUAGGUGGCAAGCGUUGUCCGGAAUUAUUGGGCGUAAAGCGCGCGCAGGCGGUCCUUUAAGUCUGAUGUGAAAGCCCACGGCUCAACCGUGGAGGGUCAUUGGAAACUGGGGGACUUGAGUACAGAAGAGGAAAGCGGAAUUCCACGUGUAGCGGUGAAAUGCGUAGAGAUGUGGAGGAACACCAGUGGCGAAGGCGGCUUUCUGGUCUGUAACUGACGCUGGGGCGCGAAAGCGUGGGGAGCAAACAGGAUUAGAUACCCUGGUAGUCCACGCCGUAAACGAUGAGUGCUAAGUGUUAGAGGGUUUCCGCCCUUUAGUGCUGCAGCUAACGC